CACAGUUCAGCAUGGCUGGGGAGGUCUCAGGAAACUUACAAUCAUGGUGGAAGGUGAAAGGGAAGCAAGGCACCUUCUUUACAAGGUGGCAGGAAAAAGAAGUGCCAAGUGAAGGGAAGAGAGUCUCAUAAAACUAUCAGAUAUUGUGAGAACUCACUCACUUUCAUGAGAGCAGCAUGGGGGAAAUUUUCUUCAUGAUUCAAUUACCUCCAUCUGGUCUCUCCCUUGACAUGUGGAGAUUGUGGGGCUUACAAUUCAAGAUGAGAUUUGGGUGGGGACAAAAACCCUAACCAUAUCAAUGAUGGUAUCAAAAUGUGAAGCCUUUGGUAAGUGAUUAGGUCAUGAGAUUAGAGCCCUCAUAAAUGGAAUUAGUGCUCCUAAAAGAGACACCAGAGAGCUGGCUAGUCUCUUCCACCAUGUGGGGACACAGUGAGGAGGCACCAUCUAUGAGCCAGGAAGAAAGUCCUCACCAGACACCAACUAUUCUUCUGCUUUUAUCUUGGACUUCCCAGAACUGUAAAAAAUAAAUUUUUGUGGUCUAUAAACCACUCAGUCUAUGGUAUUUUGGUAUAACAGCCUGAAUGGAUGGAUUAAGACACCAGUUUAAAUCAUUUUUUCCACUAAAAACUAAAACAGUUAAAAUAAAUGAAGAAAUUAAAUGAGAACUAUGCUUGUUUGGAAGGAGAUAGAAUCCAUACAUUUAUUCUUCAUUGCACCAUUAUUCACUGAACAGUUGCCAUAAGCCAGGUUCUGUGCUGGGCCCUGGCAGUACAGAGAUGAAUAAAGCACAAUUCUUGCCCUUAGAAGCUCACAGACUAGCUAGAGAGACAGACAGAUGAGGAGGGGACCAUAGAGUGAUAUGGUAUGUGAGAUAGGAGAGGCACGUGGGUCGGGGGCAUGGUGACUCAGGAGAGGCAACCCAUUCCUGGGAGGGAUCAAUGAAUUGAGACUUACAAAUGAGCAGGAUUUAGGAAAGCUGAGAAAAAUAAAGUGUCGUCUGUGAUGAUACAGAGAAAGGAGAGGUCAGGGUGAGGUAUGUAAUAAUGAUGAAGAUGAGGAUAAUUAGUGUUAUAUCUAGUUAACCAUUUAUCGAGUGCUUAUCAUACAUUCUGCCCUGGUCCAAGUUCUUUGUAUAUACAAUGUCAUUUGAUCCUCAUGGUGAUUCCAUGAGGUAGGUACCUAUUUUACUGGUAAGAAGGCGUUAGGGAAGUUGACAGAAACCACAUAGCAGGCCAGGGCUGCUGGGAUAUAAGACAAAAACAUGGAGUGUUGAUAGACGAAACUCUUGAGAAUUUGUUUUGGGUUUGGAUUGUGAGAGGUUUUAAAUAUAACACAAAGAGCUCAAUUAGAGGACAGAAAGUACACUGUUAUUGCUGAGUGCCUACUAUAUUCCAGUUACAUAUCUGAUCUGAUCAAAUUUUUACAACUCCCCUAUUUGAUAAGCAUUAUUAGCCACAUUCUUACUAAAAAAACUCAGACAUAUUUUUAUUUUCCUAAAUCACUCUACUAGUAAGUGGCAAAAAGUAAAAAAGGCUGGCCCCUGAACACAUUUUUUAACUGCUAUAUUAUUGUCCAUUUCCUCUUUCUGGUAAAUAUUUUUAAUCCUUUUUCCCCCUUCUAAUCAACUGAUGAAAGCUAUCAUUUCUCUCUGCAGAAACAUACAUGGAACUAUAUACAAACAAACUUUUGCUUGUAAUUAAUUUUGUUGCAUGGGAAUUUCAUUUUUUUUUCAUAUGGACAGACCAUACAAACAAGUCUUACAUAAAAUUAUUUGUCUCAUUUCCUGCCCCCCUCCACAAAAUAUUACUGCUUUUUUCCUUGAAAAAGCAAUAAAUCCAAAUUUUGCAAAUGAAUGAAAAAUGUAAAUUGAAAUUCUGCUGAAAUGUAACAUUUCAGUGAGGAGCCUGCUGUUGUUUGACUUAAAAAAAGAAAUAGAAAUGUUGGAGCUGUCUUUGCAUGACAGCAUCAUUUUAGCAAUCUAAUCAUUUCAGCAUUGUUUUUUUGGCAACAAGUCCCUAAACUGUGACUCAGAAAGGUAAGUAACAAACACUGUUAUUGUUCCCAGAACUCACUUUGCCACACAAGGUCAGAUGUGUGUCAAGGAGGCCCAGAAUCCUCUAAGACUCUUUGAGUUUAAUUUAUUUUGUAUAAUCCCCUUUGUCCUAGAGUUAAUGAGGUUGGCUCUGCAUUCUUGAUGCCAUCUGUGUCAGCAAGUCGAGGAUUAUGAAUCCAGUUCAAUCGUAAGGCUGUCUACACACUAGUAAACCUCAGAAGAACUCUGCUACAUUUCCUGGUAUCUACAGAUUUCUGCUUAUGGAGAAACAGACAAGGUUUUGUCACUAUGUACAACAGUCUACAAAAACAGUUUUUCUUGACUGGGAAAUAGGAUAAUUUUCCACCUCCUAGUUCUUCCAGAAGAGUGAAAAUGGCUGAAAUGCUAGGAACUUUUUGGCAGUGUCCGUAAUGGUGAAUGCUGGGCAUAAAUUCAAACCGCUACUUUAUCCAACUUGCCAAAAAUGUCCACCAAGAAUUUCUCCCUGUCAGAUUAUUCUGAGAAAGAGCAUUUUUAAUCUGCAAAGUAAUAAUAACAAUAAUGAUAAUAAUGACUGUCUGUCAGAAGUUCCAUUGAGUGCUUUAAGACUUAUCCUCUAGAAUCUGGUAAGACUCCCCAGAUAAGGUCUUCUGAGUUCUCUUCCUGUUUCUUGGUAAGUACUAAAAACGUGGUUCAAGGAGAGGAUAACAGGAAGUUCUCUGAGUUUGAUCGGCUGGAUCUGACACUCGAGCACACCAAUAUAGAAAGCAACCAAGGGGCAAUGUCAUCUGAUGCUUUUUUCUUCACUGCAUCCUUUAUCUUACAAUUUAGUGCUUCAGCAACAGCCAUUAAUUUGGCUCAUGAUUUUAUGCAUUGGCGGUUUGGGCUGGGCUCAGCUGGUGGUUCUUCUGGUCUGAGCUGGGCUCAGUUGAUCUCCACUGGGCUCAUUUAUGCAUCUGCAGUCCUGCUGGUGGAUUGGCAAGGGCAUGCAGGUUUGUGGUCUUGAUUGUUGACAUGUCUGAGCUCACUCUCCAUGUUGGUUUCUUAUCCUCCAGGUGGUUAGCCUGGGCUUGUUCACAUGGUGACUGGCUUCCGUGAAGAGCCAGAGAGCAAGCCUGUGAGAAGAACACCAAGCACUUUUAAGUAUUUGUUUUUGUUCCUUUGCUCCUGUCCUACUAGUCAAAGCAAGGUACUAGUCAGCCCAUAUUCAAGGCAUGGACCCAAGCUCUAGUCAGCCCACAUUCAAGGCAUGGACCCAAGCUCCAAUCAUUGGUGAGAAACGCUAUCUUGUGAGGCUGUGGGUAUGGGAAGGAGAUGAAUCUGUGGCUAUUUUUCUAAUCUACCAUAUUUGCAAAACACAAAAGCCUUUUAAGAGUUAAGGGGCCAAUAUAUUAUACCUUUCUCCCACUUUUGAGUUUAGAGCCAGUUGAGAGAAGUACAUAGGGGUCAAAUGGGGCAGAUCAAAUACCAGCUUAAUUAUUGGUGAAGUUAGAAUGGGAACCCAUUUUGUAUCUGUAGUCUGAACAGACUUUCUAUAAUCCUCUCUCUCCUAGAAUGAAAGUAGCCAUCUGGAAUUUAAGCUGUCCCCCUGCAGGAGCUUAAAAAUGUGUGUGUGUUUUGAGUAGGUGGAUGCCAGAGAGAAAAAAAACACAAGGAAGAGGGCCAGGUAGAGAUUCUUCUCCUCUGCUCUGUAGGGAAAAAUUGUAUCACUGAAUGCUAGAUACUUCCUUUCCCAUCAUGAGAAUAAAGAAAAAAGUGGAAAGAGAGGGAAAAUGUUACUAUUUAUAAGCCUAGGUGGGAAUGCUAUGAGAGGGGGAAAAAUGGUCCCCCUUAUCCCAGAUGUGUUUCCAAGCAAUGAAGGUAUUUAUGUUUGUGUGUGCCCUGAGUGUCAUUUUUUCCCUCUAGGUAAUGGCAGUGAGACCAUUUAUCACUGUGAACAUGUGGAUGGUAACAGAAGAUUCCAAAUGGGAUUUGCAAAAUAGGACUUCUUCAUUGACAGUGGAUGGGAAUCAGAUGGGCAUAGGGCAUCUGGUCCAUGAUCAUCCUUUCUUCGUGCUGGUCUCCGAUGAAAUAUCUGAAGAAGGUAGGUCCCUGUCACCAUGUGUUGACAUUUGCCUCUGGGGUGUCUGUGGUCCUAUGUGGUCUCCCACUGACAGGCCAUGCUCUCUGUUUCUUCCUCAUCCUGCCUCAGGCCCCUUUGGGCCAGUUACAGUGUCUCAUCCCUUCUGCUCUCCCCUCAAUGGCUUUGCAACUCUUAGUGUCUUUUCUCCCCAUUUCCCCACUGGGGUGCAUGGGACAUCACUCUAUGAGGCCUCUCUCAGGCCCAUCCACCAAGAUUCCUUCCUCUGCCAUUGUUAACUCUACCACUCUUGUGCCUUGCUGGGAACAACCUCUCUGCAAGGCUUGCAGACUCCCCAAGGGAUCCUGGAGGGGAAGAUACAGAUAUUUUAUGCUCUGAGAUCUACCCAAGCCAUUUAGUGUUUCUGUGAAUCCUCUCUCCUUUCCAGAUUUAACUGGAAAGGGCAAGAGUGUGAAUGUAGUGCUUUCCUCUGGAACUUACUUCAAUAACCAACUCUCUUACUUCCCUCUUCCAAAUGUAUGGUAACCUAUCUCCUUUUCUUAGCCCAUGUAAUACAUGUUACCUCUCCUCUUAGGCUUCUUUAUCAUUUAUUUAAUGCCUAUGCCUUCUUUUGUUCAAAGAUCAGCUCUCUUGAUUAUUCUCUCAAGGCUUUUAAGACUGCUGUCACUGUUAUGCCUGUAAACCUGGCAUUCUAAAACCCAGCUGAGUUUUGUUUUAGGCUAUAUCAUCAUUUUCCACUGAGGGUAGGACAAAGAGAAAGUUUUUACUGCUGGUUGACAUGGUGCAGGGGGUGAAGGGCAGGACACGGAAGUACAGGGGAAGAGCAUUUUAGUUAAUGUCACAGAGUUUAAUUCUCCCAUAGAAACUUCUACAUCUUCCAGAUAAGCCUUCUGUGGUGGGUCAAAUACAAGUUUUAGUAUUAUUGCAGUUUUUUCAAGUUAAGAAUCAUUCCCACCAAACAUCCAGCUAGAGGCAGUAGUAGGUUGAUGUAGUUACUUCUGGGGCAGGAGAGGGGGCUGGUUGUGCUGUGGUCUGGGAAGUGGAUCACCAUAGGAGAUAGAGGAGCUGACGCCAGCACCGGGAAAUGGGAUUGGUGCCUCCAGCAUUGAGCUGAAGAGAACAGACAACUGUUCGUAGCUCCGCAGCAGCCUAGGGCAACCACAUUAGCUUCAUCAGCCGUUCCAUGUCACCUAUAGCACCAAGAUAUCAUCCAUUUGUUCACCAGUAAAUUUCUCUCCCAAUAAUGGAACACAGGAACCCACUCCUCCAAGAUUCAGGAGAGUAGUGGGCAAGAUGCUACAGCUUUGAGGUGCAGUGCUGUGCUCUCAGGUAGGUGAAAAAAGAUUUGCAUGUUGGUUUCCCCUUUCCCAGCUGUGUGGCCUUGGGAAAGCUACUUAAUCUUUCUAGGCCUCAGUCUUUUAAAAAUCUGAAACAUGUGAAGAAUGACAGAAUAUCUAGUGUGUGUGUUUGUGUGUGUGUGUGAAAAGAAUUAAGUGAACUGUGAUAUGUAUAGUCCUUGGCAGAAGGCCUGGUACUUAAUAAGCACUCAAUGAAGGAAAGCCAUUAUUCUUGCUGUGUUGUUUUUUAAUUGUUAUUGUUGUUGCCAUUGUUAUUUAGGAGAGCACUGUAGACUUGUAGACUUUGCUUUGAGCAUUCUUUUUCCAAUGACUCAUACUGUCCAAUGUUAGAUUAAGAAUGGACAAAGGUCAGGAGACAAUUCAGUUAGGUUGGCUCUAAGCUUUCUGUGGCAAGAUCACAGUCUUUCAAGAGGACAGCCACGUUGGAGCUCUGCCAUGUUUGGUGAUGAAAGUAUGGGAAAGGUGAGCUUUGCUGACAAUUUCAAGGUCAAACUAGGACUGACAUAGACUGGCCAUGUUGGAGUCAUAAUUGCAGGUAGGUUUUUUCUUGCCUAUCACUUUGAGAUUAUAUUCUAAAUACCAUAAAAUGAUGACCAUGAUUAUAGCACUUAAGAGGAAAACAGUACCUUAACAAUAUAAUUUGACAUAAAAAUGUUUUCCCAGAUAGGCAAUUUACAAUGUAGCAUGAGGGAAAUUUAUGAAAUAAAAAUUUAUGUCUUGUUUUUAGAGAACUUGGAACCAUCCAUGUAAUAACCCCAGGGCUCCAUAGGUUACGUAUUAAGAAUUUCUUUUGCUGGUUUCUCUGAGCACCAACAUUCUGUGCCAUCAUCUGUCCCAUAGGGUAUCCAGCCCAGUGCUAUAGACAUACAUAGUAGAUGUAUAAUAAAUGUAUAAUAAGUGUGUAGUAUAUGCCCACUAAACUGAAUUGAAAAGUCUUCAGGACUCAAAAUUAUCCAAUUGUAAUGGGUAAUGAGAAGCAAUGAAACAGAUGCAUCCAGGGUUUCCCUCUCCAAUUAGAUUACAUGGUAACUGUCUUGGACAUGCCAGACUGAAGGUUUAUUACUGAAUUAUCAGUCUGUGCUGAGCUCUGCCAGAGGUAAGAUGAGAGAGCUCAGGAAAUAAAGCCAAAGAUGGGAAACUGGGAAGAUGGCCAGUUGGUGCAUCAAGGUAGAGGGGUAAGGCUGGAGCCAGGGCCUUAGAGAAAGCGUGAGAAAGGCAGGGGCAAGUGGGGCAGCACUGAGGGACACAGAGAUGAUCGGGCUGGAUCUGAGAAAUGUAUUACUUGCCCUCUGAAUGAGGGCAACUGGGAGAAACAGUUGUGAUGGGAGGAAAGUAGAGUCCCCUCUUCUUAUUUCUCGAUGAGCAGAGCAUUUUGACAAUCUAGUGAUAAUAAAAUACCUCCAUGGGGGAGAUGCUGGCUUCCCCAACUAGAAAGACAUUCUCUACUGACCAAGAGCAGCUACUCAGGAUAUCCCUGGGCUGAGUUUUGUGCAAAGGCUCAUGAGAAGGGCUGGGGCUGGCCCACAGUUGGCUGCUGAUGUUGGUUGAAUGGAGGCAGAGGGUGCAUCUGUAUGAUCUGCUGUCCUGUGCACUUAGGGCCCAGGAACUGGCAGGCAAGGUCAGAAGGACAUGUGUUGCUAAGAAAAUCCACCCAGCAUGCACUUUUUAUUACACCCAAAUAUAGGUCAUGUUGGGAGGGUGCUUGGGGAAGCAAAAGGUCAUUGUGUGGCUGAAAUCUAUAGGCAGGAGCUGUCAGCCUUGGGUGCCUCCUCACCCUGUCUGGCAGCAGCCGCUACAAAGCAAGACAUGAGUCCUUCCCAUUAGCCUCCCCUUCUCCCACCAGUCUCAUUACCCUCUGCUCAUCCCCUGGAUUCUGAAUCAAGUUCAGACUGCCUGCACAGCAGGGUUGCCAGCUGGUUUGACUUUAUUCUGUGAUUCACUGUCUAGCAGAGGGAGUUUCUCUGGUAAGCCUAUUGAGGCUGGAAACUUAACCCUCCAAAA